UCAGAUUGAACGCUGGCGGCAGGCUUAACACAUGCAAGUCGAGCGGGGGAAGGUAGCUUGCUACUGGACCUAGCGGCGGACGGGUGAGUAAUGCUUAGGAAUCUGCCUAUUAGUGGGGGACAACAUCUCGAAAGGGAUGCUAAUACCGCAUACGUCCUACGGGAGAAAGCAGGGGAUCUUCGGACCUUGCGCUAAUAGAUGAGCCUAAGUCGGAUUAGCUAGUUGGUGGGGUAAAGGCCUACCAAGGCGACGAUCUGUAGCGGGUCUGAGAGGAUGAUCCGCCACACUGGGACUGAGACACGGCCCAGACUCCUACGGGAGGCAGCAGUGGGGAAUAUUGGACAAUGGGGGGAACCCUGAUCCAGCCAUGCCGCGUGUGUGAAGAAGGCCUUAUGGUUGUAAAGCACUUUAAGCGAGGAGGAGGCUACUUUAGUUAAUACCUAGAGAUAGUGGACGUUACU
rnacentral:rRNA from 1 species